UACGUAGGGCGCAAGCGUUGUCCGGAAUUAUUGGGCGUAAAGCGCGCGCAGGCGGCCUUUUAAGUCUGAUGUGAAAUCUUGCGGCUCAACCGCAAGCGGCCAUUGGAAACUGGGAGGCUUGAGUACAGAAGAGGAGAGUGGAAUUCCACGUGUAGCGGUGAAAUGCGUAGAUAUGUGGAGGAACACCAGUGGCGAAGGCGACUCUCUGGUCUGUAACUGACGCUGAGGCGCGAAAGCGUGGGGAGCAAACAGG
rnacentral:rRNA from 1 species